rnacentral:rRNA from 1 species
GAUGAACGCUAGCUACAGGCUUAACACAUGCAAGUCGAGGGGAAACGAUAUUGGAAGCUUGCUUCCGAUAGGCGUCGACCGGCGCACGGGUGAGUAACGCGUAUCCAACCUGCCCAUCACUUGGGAAUAACCUUGCGAAAGUAAGACUAAUGCCCAAUGACAUUUAUAGAAGGCAUCUGAAAUGAAUUAAAGAUUUAUCGGUGAUGGAUGGGGAUGCGUCUGAUUAGCUUGUUGGCGGGGUAACGGCCCACCAAGGCGACGAUCAGUAGGGGUUCUGAGAGGAAGGUCCCCCACAUUGGAACUGAGACACGGUCCAAACUCCUACGGGAGGCAGCAGUGAGGAAUAUUGGUCAAUGGGCGAGAGCCUGAACCAGCCAAGUAGCGUGCAGGAUGACGGCCCUAUGGGUUGUAAACUGCUUUUAUAAGGGAAUAAAGUGAGCCUCGUGAGGCUUUUUGCAUGUACCUUAUGAAUAAGGACCGGCUAAUUCCGUGCCAGCAGCCG